rnacentral:rRNA from 1 species
CAGUCGCCACGGUAAUACGGAAGGGGCUAGCGUUGUUCGGAAUCACUGGGCGUAAAGCGCACGUAGGCGGACUUUUAAGUCAGGGGUGAAAUCCCUAGGCUCAACCUUGGAACUGCCUUUGAUACUGGAAGUCUUGAGUUCGGGAGAGGUGAGUGGAACUGCGAGUGUAGAGGUGAAAUUCGUAGAUAUUCGCAAGAGCACCAGUGGCGAAGGCGGCUCACUGGCCCGAUACUGACGCUGAGGUGCGAAAGCGUGGGGAGCAAACAGGAUUAGAUACCCCUGUAGUCCCUGUCUCUUAUAA